GCCAGUUACCACCUGCCGUCCGUGCACGGUUCAGUCUUUUACUCUGGCUACGUUUGAUAGUUUUACCGCUGUGUCAUCAAUAUUUAGCUUGAGGUUAUUAGUUAUGAUCGAGAUAUACGACGACUAUAUCGCUAGACCAAUAUCGUACCUCGUUGUCUGCCGGUAAACAUGCAAUUGAAUUUUCAAAACUCUGCGAUUUUUUGGAGAAAUAAUAAUUUAAUUUUCUGUGAAUUGAUUUAAAUUUAUCUAUAACCAUCCAACGGAAUGCAGUUCCCCGACCGUCAAUCCUUAAAGAUGAUUAAGUGUUGGUUGAAAAGUCAAUACUAUAGAAAUAAAUUUGUGGCCGAUAGUGAGCCCAAGUACUGUAACGCUUGAAUGCGAUGAUUGGAACUGACACGCUAACAUAUCAACCGAUUACGAACAUGUAAGGGGAGAAGUUUAAAGUCCAUCGUUGGUAGCUUCUCCUCUCGGGCUGUUGCAGUAUGUAUUGAAUCUUUCGGAUGGGGCUCUUUUAAAUAUGUUUCAAUUUAAUCAACCGAACCGAACAUAAAAAACUGGAAUAUUAACAUAAUAUAAUGUGGUCUUUAGGUUCAAAAAGAGUUACAUUUUUUCUGAAAUGAAAACUGGUUUAAGUAGUAACUAGCUGCCUGAAGACUGACUACUAAGUAGUAAUGCAUUUAGUAGUACGCAAGUCGGUUACCGUGAACGCAUGUAAUUCCGAUCACUCGACCAAGGCAGGUGACUUUUAGAAGAUUGAAUAAACAACCGUACGCAAUGAACAUGCUUUGACUACGAGCAUUCUUAUUGACUAGGGUAACUAACCAAUUCCAUUUGAUUUUGUUAUUGUUAUUGUUGUUAGUGUUAUUUAUUGUUUACACUCAUCGGAUGAACGGUCAACACGAACACUUACGAACUAAGAGAUAAAGCUAGGGGUUUACAUAAAAAUUUGUCAAACGGUUACGAAAAACACUAGAGCUAACAUUAAAAUCAAACAAACAAUAGUACUGGUUAAAUAACAAACACAUUGACCUGAUGGGCUCGUUCUGUGCGUAGUUUGUUAUGUGUUGUAGUCUCAUAAUAUUCCAAUAUCGGAGAUGGCUGUUUCCAAAACGGAUCGAACUAGGCUGAAGUACAAGACGCGCAAGCAGUAUGGAUCACGGAACUCAGCUGAGACGCGGAGGAU